CCGGGGGUGUCGGAGCGGGAAGAGCCCGCGAGAUCGUCCACGUGGGGAACCCUCGGGCCAGGAUAGGAAGGGAUAAAUGAUCCCGAAACCUUGGAACCUCUCCACCGGCAGCCGGCAGCGAGUCCUGUUUGAACCCCGAGUCUGAAUCCGGGUUUAAACCCCGGCUACGCACUCGCCGGCUGUUGACCUUGAUCAAGUCGCGUUCCUGGAAGCCAGCUUACCACCCGCCAGCAUGCACAACUGGCUUCCCCACAGAUGCCCACCAUAGAGAAUACCUUGUGCCUAGUCUGCUCUGGCUGCUUGACUGUGUUAGGGGGCAGCCUCAGAAAGCACCCCCUGGGACAGCCUGGAUUCCUCUGCUACGGGGAAAUGGAAGGACCAUCCAACUUGCAAGCCAUGAAGGCUGAUAUUGUAGCCGUGAAAUUGGACCCCAAGAUUUCUGCAAGCAAAAAUAGACAC